UCUUCCAGGGACGCUUACUGUUACAAUAAAACGUGGCAAUAAUUUGAAGCAAUCGGUGGGAAAUCCCAGUGCUUAUUGCAAGCUAACACUCGGCAGUACUCCUCCUAGGCUAACUAAGAUUGUAUCGACUGGCCCGACACCCGAAUGGGACGAAGCCUUUGCAUGGGCUUUCGACUGCCCCCCAAGAAGCCAGAAGCUUAACAUAUCCUGCAAGAACAAG
rnacentral:misc_RNA from 1 species